AACGAACGCUGGCGGCAUGCCUAACACAUGCAAGUCGAACGAUCCCUUCGGGGUUCGUUGCGCACGGGUGCGUAACGCGUGGGAACCUGCCCUUAGGUUCGGAAUAACUUAGAGAAAUUUGAGCUAAUUCCGGCUAAUGUCUUCGGACCAAAGAUUUAUCGCCUUUGGAUGGGCCCGCGUUGGUUUAGCUAGUUGGUGGGGUAAAGGCCUACCAAGGCGCCGAUUCUUAGCUGGUCUGAGAGGAUGAGCAGCCACACUGGGACUGAGACACGGCACAGACUCCUACGGGAGGCAGCAGUGGGGAAUAUUGGACAAUGGGCGAAAGCCUGAUCCAGCAAGGCCGCGUGAGUGAUGAAGGCCUUAGGGUUGUAAAGCUCUUUUACCCGGGAUGAUAAUGACAGUACCGGGAGAAGAAGCCCCGGCUAACUCCGUG
rnacentral:rRNA from 1 species